AGACCGGUCCAGACGACCGCUCCUGCUUGUUGAGACGAGAUUUCGUUGAAAGAGUGGGGGAGGAAAGUCCGAACACUGGCACUACAUAAGCAGCGAAUCCGCCUUCGGCGGAUUCGCUGCGGUAGUUGCAGGAAGGUAGCGGGUAACGCCCGUCCGCCGCGAGGCGCGAGGUGCGAGCAGAGACGCUUCAGGUCGAAAGGCCGAAGUAUCUGAUCUCACUUCCCUUUUUGGGAAUAGUUUUUCACGCGUGAGCGUGGAGGGCGAGAGAGCAGAUAAGCUUGCUGGGCGACCAGCGAGGUGAAACGGCUAAAUCCUUACCCCAGUGCAAGGCCGUGUCCGGCAUCAUUCCGAUGAUGCCGGAAGUGCCGCGCGAGGUGCUUGGUAACAAGCAUCCCAGAUAAAUGGUCGUCCACGACAGAAUUCGGCUUAUCGGAUCGGUCUACAA
rnacentral:RNase_P_RNA from 1 species